AUUGAACGCUGGCGGCAGGCCUAACACAUGCAAGUCGAGCGGAUGAAGGGAGCUUGCUCCUGGAUUCAGCGGCGGACGGGUGAGUAAUGCCUAGGAAUCUGCCUGGUCGUGGGGGAUAAUGUCCGGAAACGGGCGCUAAUACCGCAUACGUCCAGAGGGAGCAAGUGGGGGGUCUUCGGACCUCUCGCUCUCAUAUGAGCCUAGGUCGGAUUAGCUAGUUGGUGGGGUAAAGGGCUACCAAGGCGACGAUCCGUAACUGGUCUGAGAGGAUGAUCAGUCACAUUGGAAGUGAGACAGGGUCCAGACUCCUACGGGAGGCAGCAGCGGGGAAUAUUGGGCAAUGGGGGAAAGCCUGAUCCAGCCAUGCCGCGUGUGUGAAGAAGGUCUUCGGAUUGUAAAGCACUUUAAGUUGGGAGAAAGGGCAGUAAGUUAAUACCUUGCUGUAUUGACGUUACCAGCAGAAUAAGCACCGGCUAACUUCGUG
rnacentral:rRNA from 1 species